AGUCGAGCGGAAGGCCCUUUCGGGGGUACUCGAGCGGCGAACGGGUGAGUAACACGUGAGUAAUCUGCCCUGCGCUCUGGGAUAGCCACCGGAAACGGUGAUUAAUACCGGAUAGGACCACUUCACGCAUGUGAUGGUGGUGGAAAGUUUUUUCGGCGCAGGAUGUGCUCGCGGCCUAUCAGCUUGUUGGUGAGGUAACGGCUCACCAAGGCUUUGACGGGUAACCGGCCUGAGAGGGUGACCGGUCACACUGGGACUGAGACACGGCCCAGACUCCUACGGGAGGCAGCAGUGGGGAAUAUUGGACAAUGGGCGGAAGCCUGAUCCAGCAACGCCGCGUGAGGGAUGACGGCCUUCGGGUUGUAAACCUCUUUCAGUACCGACGAAGCGAAAGUGACGGUAGGUACAGAAGAAGGACCGGCCAACUACGUGCCAGCAGCCGCGGUAAUACGUAGGGUCCGAGCGUUGUCCGGAAUUAUUGGGCGUAAAGGGCUCGUAGGCGGUUUGUCGCGUCGGGAGUGAAAACACCGGGCUUAACUCGGUGCUUGCUUUCGAUACGGGCAGACUAGAGGUAUGCAGGGGAGAAUGGAAUUCCUGGUGUAGCGGUGAAAUGCGCAGAUAUCAGGAGGAACACCGGUGGCGAAGGCGGUUCUCUGGGCAUUACCUGACGCUGAGGAGCGAAAGUGUGGGGAGCGAACAGGAUUAGAUACCCUGGUAGUCCACACCGUAAACGUUGGGCGCUAGGUGUGGGGCCUAUUCCAUGGGUUCCGUGCCGUAGCUAACGCAUUAAGCGCCCCGCCUGGGGAGUACGGCCGCAAGGCUAAAAUCAGUU
rnacentral:rRNA from 1 species